rnacentral:rRNA from 1 species
CGGUAAUUCCAGCUCCAAUAGCGUAUACUAAAGUUGUUGCAGUUAAAAAGCUCGUAGUUGAAUUUCUGCGGGGACGGAGCGGCCGGUCGCAACUUGCGACUCGAGCUAGCGCUUUCCCCGCAUCCUGCCGCGAACCGUGCUACCAUUAGUUUGGUGGCGCUGGGGAUCGGCUCGAUUACUUUGAGAAAAAUAGAGUGUUCAAAGCAGGCCACACGCCUUGAAUAAGUUAGCAUGGAAUAAUGACUAAGGACUUCGGUUCUAUUUUGUUGGUGUUCGGGACUGAAGUAAUGAUUGAUAGGGACAGUUGGGGCGGUCUGUAUUCCAAAGCGAGAGGUGAAAUUCUUAGACCUUCGGAAGACAAACAGCUGCGAAAGCGUUCCGCAAGGAUGUUCCCUUUGAUCAAGAACGAAAGUUGGGGGAUCGAAGACGAUCAGAUACUGUCGUAGUCUCAACUAUAAACUAUACCAGCUAGGGAUCGGUCAACGUUUAAUUAUUCGACUUGAUCGGCACCUUAUGAGAAAUCAAAGCAUCUGGGUUCCGGGGGGAGUAUGGUCGCAAGGCUGAAACUUAAAGGAAUUGACGGAAGGGCACCACCAGCCGUGGAGCCUGCGGCUUAAUUUGACUCAACACGGGAAAACUUACCAGGUCCAGACAUAGUAAGGAUUGACAGAUUGAUAGCUCUUUCUUGAUUCUGUGGGUGGUGGUGCAUGGCCGUUCUUAGUUGGUGGAGUGAUUUGUCUGGUUAAUUCCGUUAACGAACGAGACCCCAGCCUGCUAAAUAGCGCGGCUGAGCUUUGCUCGGUGCGAGCUUCUUAGAGGGACUAUGAUGCGCGAUAGCACAUGGAAGUUUGGGGCAAUAACAGGUCUGUGAUGCCCUUAGAUGUUCUGGGCCGCACACGGGCUACACUGGCGCCUGCAACGAGCAUAUCAGCUGGCCCGAGAGGGUCUUGGCUAAUCUUUUGAACCGGCGCCGUGCUUGGGAUUGACCUUUGCAAUUGUUGGUCAUGCAACGAGGAAUGCCUUGUAAACGCGAGUCAUCAGCUCGCAUUGAAUACGUCCCUGCCCUUUGUACACACCGCCCGUCGCUCCUACCGAUGAAUGUUCCGAUGAAAUUUUCGGAGAGCGCCAGAGAACGGGGCUCCGCCUUGCAGAUCUGGAGGCUCAAAGUCACUUAAAUCUGAACAUUUCGAGGAAGGAGAAGUCGUAACAAGGUAACC